CAAGGAAUUUUGCGCAAUGGGCGGGAGCCUGACGCAGCAACGCCGCGUGGGGGACGAAGGCCCUCGGGUUGUAAACCCCUUUUCCGGGGGAAGAUGAUGACGGUACCCCGGGAAUAAGUCUCGGCUAACUACGUGCCAGCAGCCGCGGUAAUACGUAGGAGGCGAGCGUUGUCCGGAUUUACUGGGCGUAAAGGGCGCGUAGGCGGCCCCCUGAGUCCCGCGUGAAAUCUCCCGGCUCAACCGGGAGGGUGCGCGGGAUACUGGGGGGCUGGAGGGCAUCAGAGGGAAGCGGAAUCCCCGGUGUAGUGGUGAAAUGCGUAGAUAUCGGGGGGAACACCAGUGGCGAAGGCGGCUUCCUGGGGUGUACCUGACGCUGAGGCGCGAAAGCGUGGGGAGCGAACCGGAUUAGAUACCCCCGUAGUCC
rnacentral:rRNA from 1 species